UACAGAGGGUGCGAGCGUUAAUCGGAAUUACUGGGCGUAAAGCGCACGUAGGUGGCGACGUAAGUCGGGUGUGAAAGCCCCGGGCUCAACCUGGGAAUUGCAUUCGAGACUGCAUUGCUGGAGUACGGAAGAGGAAGGCGGAAUUCCCGGUGUAGCGGUGAAAUGCGUAGAUAUCGGGAGGAACAUCAGUGGCGAAGGCGGCCUUCUGGUCCCGUACUGACGCUCAUGUGCGAAAGCGUGGGGAGCAAACAGG
rnacentral:rRNA from 1 species